rnacentral:ncRNA from 1 species
CCCGAUUAACUUAAGCAUAUCAAUAAGCGGAGGAAAAGAAAAUAACUAUGAUUCCCUUAGUAACGGCGAGUGAACAGGGAAAAGCCCAAAUUUGUAAUCUGGCACUUUUUACAAGUGUCCGAGUUGUAAUUUGUAGAACUGUUAUCCGCGCUGGACCAUGUACAAGUCUGUUGAAAAGCAGCAUCAUUGAAGGUGAAAAUCCUGUAGAUGAUAUGGACUACCAGUGCAUUUGUGAUACGGUUUCUAAGAGUCGAGUUGUUUGGGAAUGCAGCUCAAAGUGGGUGGUAAAUUCCAUCUAAGGCUAAAUAUAAGUGAGAGACCGAUAGCAAACAAGUACCGUGAGGGAAAGAUGAAAAGAACUUUGAAAAUAGAGUUAACAGUACGUGAAAUUGCUGAAAGGGAAACAUUUGAAGUUAGUUUUGUAUUUGUUGGAUCAGCUUCGCAAGGAGUGUAUUCUGAUGAUAAGCAAGUCAACAUCAAUCUAUGAGUGUCGGAGAAGGGUUUUGAGAAUGUAGCAAUUUUUAUUAAUUGUGUUAUAGCUUGAGACUUGGAUACGAUGCUUUGGAUUGAGGAACGCGUAGUAAGCUUUGAGCGGAUUCGAAAGGAUCUCCUUACUAUGGAUGUUGGUGAAAUAACUUUAAGCGACCCGUCGUGAAACACGG